GAGAUCCCACUCUACUUUGUGGACUUGCAGGAUGACUUAGAGGACUAGCCCACUGUGCGGACUGAGCUGAUGGGGCAAAUCCUUCCCAUUGUUGCUUUCUUACAAGAAAGCAGGUUGGAUUUUCCUGUGGUGGUCUCCCAGUACAUCCUGCCUGUUGGAGCACGGUACCUUGAGGAUCCAGACAACCAGGUCAGAAAACCCAGCCAGGAAGCGCUACUGGCCCUUCUGGAGCAAGGUCUCAUUUCCCAGUGUGACACUGAAGGCUAAGUGUGUCCUGCUCUGCUGGAGCGGUCUGCUCCCAGCCGUGAUGAUGAAUGCAGAAAGAAGGCCAUGAGCGUAAUCUGCAAAAUGGCGGCCAUGCUGACCAUGCACAGUUGAACGCCUGCUGCUGCCUUGAAUGGUGUGGUGCCUGGAAACUCUUCCAAGUUUGGAAGGUGUGUACCGUGCAUUUUGGCGAUAUUUGUCAUCCUGUCUGGACAAGAAGCCACUGAGAAGGUUUUGAUACCAACAUUUUUUGAGCUCUGCUCAGAUAACAUGCAGAAAGCAUGUUCAGAGUGCUUCACAGCUGUAUCCCACACUUCCCCCUGUGGUCUGCAGAACCCAGCUCUCGACUGUGUUCAUCAAACUCCUCAGUGAUCCCCAUCGAUAGAGCACCUGUGUGUGCACACAGAGCCACAUGUACUUCCGGAAGGAGCUUCAGCUGAGACCAGUCAUCUGCACAGCAGCUCUUCCACAGACACAACAGGGAACCCUUCCGAAGCCGGGGCUGAAGUGAUGGGAAGUUCUUCAGGCCGCAGGCCCUUCCCAAAGCUCCUGAUAUCAGCCACUGCCUCAGCAACAGUUACCCUGAAACAGAGCAGACACUACCGAGGGAGGGAGGGAGGGAGAGAGGGAGGGCAGGCUGGCGGGCGUGCUCAGUACUUGACUGUAUGGGCACACUCCUCUGCCUUAUAGAGCUAAGAUAUGGAGGUGCUUAGGGAGCCUGGGCCACUAAAAGGAAGCCACAUUGGGCCUGAGGCUGCAUGUGACAGUUAGGUGGCCAGGAGCAAGAUCCAGAAAGUCCUUCAGAAUUUGCAGGGACAUCUGCUGCAUGACCCAGACAUUCACGGUGAGAGCAGGAUGUGUGCCUGUGUGGUGAGGUACUCAUACGCAGAGUUUGGUAUCUCUAGGCAGCACCUGCUUCCGAUGUCUGGCUUCCUUGUUGUAGGCAACGUGUGUACAGCCUGAGGGACCCCAGCCAGAACAGAGGACAGUGCUUGGGCACAUCUGUGCUGGUGGAAGGUUUAUUAGCUCCAGAGACAGUGACAUCAUUUCCCAAGUUGUGUAUCCUUUCUGGCCACAGACAUCUCGGGCAGCCUUCCUUUGGAACCCAUAAGCUCGGGUCUUCACUAAUUCCUAAGGUUUCUUUCCUAAGCAGAUAGGUGCUUUUCAUUUCAUGAUUAAUGCUCCCACCUACCAAGUGUAGGUGGGGUCUAGGAGCUGGUCUCCUAAUCCCAUUGUUGUGCAACCCCAGUUAGUCCUCAGGGCUCUGCAGUGCUGUGCUUGGGUUUGUGCCACGUGAGAGAGAUUAGAGAAACAACACUUGCUGCUGUUGCUGGGCAAAGGCUUCUGCUGCUCUGAGGAGAGGAAAUGUGAAGACCCAGUUCGCCCCAUGAUUAGUCUUUGUCUGCCAGUCUCUGAGUGAAGGAACCCGUGAUUGCCGAAGGGAUGAACAAGUGGUCCACUUGUACAGGCUGCAGGCAGAGGCUGCGGUGGCUGCACAGACAACAGCUUGUCCCAGUAACAGCCGGUCAGGGCUGGCCAGCAGUGACCCUUGGAGUCUGGUGGAGGGGCUUGUGUAGGCAGCUUUGCCUGGGUGAGGUGAGGACUGAGAGACGAGUGUCCAGAAGAGGCACUGGGCAGGAAGCUGGUCAUUUCUGGGGGUAGAGAAAAUAUCAGGGGAUCCUCAUCCUGCGGGUCCUGUUCCUGGGAGGCUGCUAUUUGCACUGCUCUGCACAUAUUUACAUAGCUAAUUUCUCACUAAGGAAGGACUGUUAGCUUUGCUCAGAUCUCAGAGGGGUCACUAACCCUCAGAGAUUCAGAAACAAAUGACACAUUUCACAUUCUGGCUGUUGCAAAGGGCCUGGUGUGCUGUGCUUGGGAGGUAAGACUUCUCCCAGCACAGUGGGGAGCCAGCUACAAGCUCUGAGCAUUGGAGAGGAUAUUUGUAUUGUAGGAACAGCAUGCAAGGGUGGGGGUAGGGCAUGUGUCAUGUACCCUGGAGAUGGAAAUGUACAGUUUUAAUUUGUGUAGAAAAAUAGGUGAAGUAGGUCCUUUGAGCCCCUACACUAGUGUGCAAAUAAACUUAUGUGUAUGCGCAUGCAUAUGUGUUAAUAGGAAGGGGAGCAGCCAUCCUGCUUUAUAAGUGGGGCAUACAACACCCCUUGUCAAGGAGGAUGGCCUCCCAGACUCCUCUGCUGGCUAACCUUACUCUUUGUUUUGUGAGAGACAGUGGCGUUGAACUGAUUUUCCUUGGUAGAUGUGUUUUGAAUCCAGAUGUGCUGCUCUGUUUGACUGAUGAUCAGUUGGAAUGGUCACAUUAGUGGCCAGCAUCACAGCUGGCAGGGGGCUCCCGCUGAGACUCCAGAGUCUGGCACCAAGCAUUCUUCAGGAGGUACAUGUGCCUCUAGGAAGAGCCCCAUUCCCAGGCCAAAGCUUGGUGCAUAUCCCUCUGAAAUGAACCCAGGAUCCAUCCGCAUUAAGUUAUUAAAAUCUUUCAAAAAAUGUUUUGAGACAGGCUGUUACAUAGCCCAAGCUAGUCUGAACCUUGUUUUGUAAGAGAGGGUGAUUUCAAACUUCUGAUUUUUUUACUGCCACCUUCCAAGUGCUGGGAAACACAUAAGUGCAGCUUAUGGGGUGCAGGGGGUAGAAAGCGGGGUUUUCCCAGCCCCAUGCUGUCACUAGAACGCUUGCUGCUUCUCCUCCUGCUGCUCAGGCUCAGGUAUUACCUGCCUGCCUGCCGCAUUGAGAGCAAGCAGCUCAACUCUGCUCUGCUGGUGAACCCAAGAGCACGCAGACACACAGUCUGAAGGAAGAGCCUGUGUCAGAUCCCAGCCCUGCCUCUGACCAUCACAUCCUCCCGUCAGCUUCAUCAUCUCAGAAUGAGCUCUCGGCGGAGGCCAGGAUAUUACAGAGCACAGAUAUGAUCCCUCAGCCUCUGCUCCACCAGUUCGUUUCCAUGACUAAUCCACUGAGAGCCCAGACUGUGGACACUGUCUUAGCCAAGCACUGUGUGCACUGUGGCCUCCCUGGGCCUCAGCUGCCAGAACUAGCAGUGCCUGAAGGACACUUGUGAAACGUUGGCUUCAGAUGUUCAGUGGAGUCCGCCUCGCCCUCGCCUGCCUUCUCCAUUCAGGAACUGGCAGUGAUUCGCAGGGAUCAGCUGACAGCAGCCGACCUGGUGCUUAUCUUCAGUGGCUUCUUGAAGGAUCUGGACAAAGACAAGAGGAGAGUGCACCUCUGCCAGCUGCAGAGGUUGGUGGUGACUGACAGCAGCCGGAACUGGAGGUUUCCAUAUGAACAGAGUGAGCAGAGUUACAGCUAGUCAUCUCACAAAUAAUUGUCUUCCUGAAGAAAUCCAUCAGGCUUUUGCAGCUACGUAGGAUAUGAUUUGGCCGGUGCCGGGGGCAAACUGGAAGAUUUUCUCUUUGCUGUGAGCUUUAAUCAUUAUCCUUAAUUUGA